UCUCCACACUAUUCUCUUUCAGAUUCUAGGGUUCUUGUCUUAGAUCGCUCAUCAAUGGUGCUCAAAAUCUAGUGGUGGUGUUUUAAUCUUGAUUUGUUUGUUCUUCGUUCAAAAAAAAUCCCAUCUGUUUGUUCACUAAUCAUAUUGAUUGCCCUUUUUUUGUGUGGGGUGGUGUUCUAGCAUUUGGAUAGAUGCGGUGCACUGGCAGAAGUUAUUUUUCUAUGGUGUGCACUUUUGAGCACCAAAGAAGAGGCGUAACCUCCAUAAAGAUUGACACCAAGGCUGCGCAAACAUGGAUUUACCCAGAAAUGUAGAUUGAAAGAGGAACCUUUGACCUUUGAUGCACUUUGUGUCUUAAAGCAUCUAUUUUCCAGGUUGUUUGAAGCUUGGCAUAGUAAAAGGCCUUCACUUGUUGAAGCUGUAAAGUUGUUGCUAGAUGAACAAAAUUUGGCUGUCCAUAAAGCACUUUUAGAGUUGAUUGUUGUCAUGGUUUCGCAUUGUUACAUGGUCGGUCCAUUCGGGGAGUUGUUUGUUGAAUAUCUUGUGCGCCACUGUGCUAUAUCAGAUAAGGAUAGAAAUGAUCUCGAAAGCUCAAAGGAAGUCGUUAGGCCAGCUGGCACAUAUUAUGUUCUCCCUUACAAGAGAUAUGAGGUGAAGAUUGGGGUGGUUUUGUCAAAUAGAGCUACGGGAAAUUUGUGAAAAAGGUCUACUUCUAGUGACGAUUACUGUUCUUGAAAUGGAGCAUGUCCUCUGGCCUUUUCUAUUGAAGAUGAUUAUUCCACAGGUCUACAUUGGUGUAGUUGCCACGGUUUGCAGAUGCAUCUCUGAGUUGUGUAGAUAGAGAUCUUCUCAUAGUUGUACAAUGCUUACUGAGUGUAAAGCUCGAGCUGAUAUUCCAAAUCUUGAGGAACUCUUUGCCCUGUUGGUGGUUCUCCUACAUGAUCCUGUUGCUCAGGAGCAGUAGACCGCUCAGAUUUUGACCGUUUUGUGCUACCUUGCACCUCUCUUUCCAAAAAAUAUCAACUUGUUUUGGCAAGAGGAGAUUCCAAAAAUGAAAGCCUAUGUGAGUGACACUGAUGACCUAAAGCAGGAUCCUUCAUAUCAAGAAACAUGGGAUGACAUGAUAAUCCAUUCACUAUUUUUUGGGGAAGUGGGGGAAGAUGGUAGUGGAAGCGACAAAGAAGGCCGAGGAUCCUGCUGGGGAUACGUGGCAGCUGUACUAUGUACGGCGGACUCAUCGAUGCAUGAUUUAAGAGUCAAGACCACGAUGUCAAGUCAGUGCUGCCUCACUCCACCAUAGAGAAAACCUUCAGUGGCAACCACAUCUCCACCACCACUACUCAGUUCGGAAUUUGGUUGUGUAUGAUGAGGUGAAAAGAAUGUAUCUUCCUUUUUAGGUCAAGGCUAAUUUUGAUUUCUAUUUAUGAUUUCUGAUUCUUCUUCCAUUGGGGUGUCUUCUCCAUUUCAGAUAUCAUUUUGAGGGCUGAUAAAACAAAAAUACUCUUUGCUCUCCCUGAUUUUGGCAAAAAUCCAUGUUUGCAAAAUCAAUCCAUGAAAAGGUAAUACUUCGUAAACUUUUUUUUUCAUGAUUUUGAUACCAUACCAGUUUUCUUUGCCUAAGUUGGGAAGGAAUGUGGUUGGAAUUCUUACAUUUCAGUGAUUUUUAAUGACAUUAACGAUCAUGACCAUUUGGUGAAGAACAAAAGGAAGCACACGAAAGUAAAGGGAAAAAAGAGAAAGAGAAGUUUGUGAUUGAGUUUUACAAGAACACAACAGAAAAAAUUAGUGGGUUUUGAGAAGUGAUGGGACCUCACUUUUGGCUAUCAUGUAUAUUGGUUUCUGAUGGGAUUUUAACUGAACAUGGUCAUAUGACCGAUUAUUGAACUUCAUUGUGGUAACAUUGCUUCAUCCUAACAAAAAAGA